AUACUACUCCCUCCGUUCGGAAUUACUUGUCGCAGAAAUGGAUGUAUCUAGACAUAUUUUAGUUCUAGAUACAUCCAUUUCCAAGACAAGAAUUCCGAACGGAGGGAGUACAUA
rfam:Triticum aestivum genome assembly, contig: Triticum_aestivum_CS42_TGACv1_scaffold_406750_5BL